CGAUUAUGAGAUGUAAUAAUGAAAUCAUUUGAUUAUAAAAAUGUCUAGUUUAUAAAAAUUAGUAGUUACUGAUUUUGUAGGUAAUUGUGUCCGUGAGUCUACGCAGACAGCAAGUGAAACACACAAUUAAAUAAGCUCAUCAAGUUCCGAUGUUGUGGAAAUACAUAUCCCAUGUGAAUGUAUUAUAAUAUAUGAUGAGGAUUCUGAUCAUCAAAUCAAAUCCCACUGCAAAACACUGAAAUAAACGGAUAAUAAUUAUAAACAAAGGAGAAAUAAACACCCCUCGCCCUGUCCAGCCGCGCACUACGAGUUCAAGUCCGCAGUAAGAGUGGGACGUUAUCGCGAACCCUCCGAAUGGUCCGAAAACUAGUCGGUACCGGCACCGACAAAAACAUACCUAGCAUCUGGAUGCUCCUUCAGAGAACUAAAUCAUUCAUUUCGCAUUGGACACACAACUGUUCGAGAAAUUGUACUUGAGGUUUGCGUCGCCAUAUGGCAAAAUAUAAAAGACAUUGCCUUUCCACAACUCGAUAGAGACAAUUGGCUAAAAAUAAGUGAAGGAUUUAGGAACAGUUCGCAAUUUCCUAACUGUACUGGAGCUGUGGACGGAAAGCACAUAAGAGUCAUUCAGCCGACCCAUACAGGGUCACUAUAUUAUAACUACAAAAACUAUUUCUCUAUUGUGCUGAUGGCUAUAUGCGAUGCCAACUACAAAUUUAUAUGCAUAGACGUCGGCGCAUAUGGAAAAUGAAGUGAUUCCUCGGUAUUCAAGCAUUUUUAUGAAAAACUUACAAAUAAUGAUUUAGACAUGCCAGACAAGAGACCGAUAACUGAAACAGGUGUGCCUCUGCCUUUUGUCAUAGUUGGCGAUGAAGCAUUCUCUUUGUCAGAAAAUAUAAUGAGACCAUAUGCCGGAAGAAAUUUGACAGACAAGAAAAGAAUUUUUAACUACCACCUUUCCCGUGCGCGCCGAUACAUAGAAUGUACUUUCGGGAUACUAGCCAAUAAGUGGCGCAUUUUUCAUCGUCCUCUUGAUGUACACGUAGAAUUUGCUGUUGCAAGCAUGUUGCGUCCUUCACAACUAUGUACGGGAGCGAGAUGGGUACAAAUUCGAAGACACGUUGUAUAUUCCUGCGACUAUUGAAGGAAUACCUCCCUGCCAGCCUUCAACAGGAAAUAGAACAUCUACACAAAACAGAGAUCUAUUUGCUGACUACUUCGUGGGUGAAGGACAACUCCCGUGGCAAAAUCGAGUAGCUCUGAGAACACAGUAAAAUAAACAUUACUUAC